GGCGGCCAACGCCCGCUGGCUGCUCACUUCUAAAACGGAGAACCUGAGUGCCUCCUGAGGGCUAGCCAGCAGCUUCCUAGAGAUGGCUGUGAGGCUGUGGGGUCAGCCAGGCCAGCUUCACUACCUACGAGAUCAGGGUCAAGACAAACCUUCCAAUUUUCAAACUGAAAGAAUCUCCUGUCAAAAGAAGAUAACAUGACUCCAAGAGAAAACAUAAUGAGAAAAUCUUCAAGGACUUUCUGGCACACAACAGGACUUCAACAAAUACUGGCAAAAUUUAAAGGUUCGACCACACAGUCUUUUGAUGAGCCUAUGAGGAAACAUUCUCAUACUUUGACGGUAGGAAUGGAAAGCAACAUCACUGCAUUAGAGGAGAAAUGGUCAGUAUCCAGCACAAUUACCCUGUCACUCAGCCAUCUCACUUCUUGGAAUCCAUGCCAAAGAAACACUGGAGAAAAAUGCAUUAUGACACAUAUACUGGUGUAUUUAUUGCAACUCGAUAUGUACUAGCAGAAUGGUAAAACCUAAACUAAAUAUUCCUCAACAGGACUAGUUAAAUCAACUGCAAUAUAUCCACUAGAUAAAGUAUUAUGAAGCUAUAAAAAUGAAGAAUAUAUACUCUGUAUACUACUUUGAUGUGAUCUCCUGCCAGACUGGUAGGUGAAAAAAGCCAAGUGGAGAAAAGUAUGUGAAGAAUGCUACCAUUUGUUUAUUAAAGGGA